UACAGAGGUCCCAAGCGUUGUUCGGAUUCACUGGGCUUAAAGGGCGCGUAGGCGGACCGCCAAGUCGGGGGUGAAAUCUUUCGGCCCAACCGGAAAAGCGCUUCCGAUACUGGCGGCCUCGAGGGAGGUAGGGGUCGGCGGAACUGGUGGUGGAGCGGUGAAAUGCGUAGAUAUCACUAGGAACGCCGGUGGCGAAAGCGGCCGACUGGACCUCUUCUGACGCUGAGGCGCGAAAGCCAGGGGAGCGAACGGG
rnacentral:rRNA from 1 species